GGCCCGGUAGCUCAGGGCUACAGCGUCGUGCUAAUAACGCGAAUGUCGUGGGUUCGGUCCCCAUCCGAGCCA
rfam:Clonorchis sinensis DNA, scaffold: 170, strain: Henan.